UGGCGGACGGGUGAAUAAUGUCUGGGAAACUGCCCGAUGGAGGGGGAUAACUACUGGAAACGGUAGCUAAUACCGCAUAACGUCGCAAGACCAAANAGGGGGACCGUUCAGGCCUCUUGCCAUCGGAUGUGCCCAGAUGGGAUUAGCUAGUAGGUGGGGUAACGGCUCACCUAGGCGACGAUCCCUAGCUGGUCUGAGAGGAUGACCAGCCACACUGGAACUGAGACACGGUCCAGACUCCUACGGGAGGCAGCAUG
rnacentral:rRNA from 1 species